rnacentral:rRNA from 1 species
UACGUAGGGUGCGAGCGUUAAUCGGAAUUACUGGGCGUAAAGCGUGCGCAGGCGGUUUUGUAAGCCAGAUGUGAAAGCCCCGGGCUCAACCUGGGAAUGGCAUUUGGGACUGCAAGGCUGGAGUUUGGCAGAGGAGACUGGAAUUCCUGGUGUAGCAGUGAAAUGCGUAGAUAUCAGGAGGAAUACCGAUGGCGAAGGCAGGUCUCUGGGCUAUAACUGACGCUCAUGCACGAAAGCGUGGGGAG